AUUGAACGCUGGCGGCAGGCUUAACACAUGCAAGUCGAGCGGGGGAAGGUAGCUUGCUACCGGACCUAGCGGCGGACGGGUGAGUAAUGCUUAGGAAUCUGCCUAUUAGUGGGGGACAACAUCUCGAAAGGGAUGCUAAUACCGCAUACGUCCUACGGGAGAAAGCAGGGGAUCUUCGGACCUUGCGCUAAUAGAUGAGCCUAAGUCGGAUUAGCUAGUUGGUGGGGUAAAGGCCUACCAAGGCGACGAUCUGUAGCGGGUCUGAGAGGAUGAUCCGGCACACUGGGACUGGGACACGGCCCAGACUCCUACGGGAGGCAGCAGUGGGGAAUAUUGGACAAUGGGGGGAACCCUGAUCCAGCCAGGCCGCGUGUGUGAAGAAGGCCUUAUGGUUGUAAAGCACUUUAAGCGAGGAGGAGGCUACUCUAGUUAAUACCUAGGGAUAGUGGACGUUACUCGCAGAAUAAGCACCGGCUAACUCUGUGCCAGCAGCCGCCGUAA
rnacentral:rRNA from 1 species